rnacentral:tRNA from 1 species
UGUAAUGUAGUUUAUAUAAAAUGUUUAUUUUACACGUAAGCGAACUCUUUUAGUAGAGCUUUACUA